GCUCAAUAAAUUUGGCACUGGCGCCCCCUGGAGUACAUUCCCGGUACAACCCCCUCCCCUUGAGUGUGGGUGUACCUUGUGAAUACUUGGGCCAUCACUGAUUCAGUUCCAUUGUAAUGGCAAAGGUGAAAGGAUUUUGUCAAUGUAUCAAUAAUUGAGGUCCCUAAAUCUGUUGACUUUAGGUUAAUCAAAAGGGAUAGUAUCCUGAGUGGGUCUGAAUUAAUUACAGGAACCCUUAGAAUCUGGGUCUAGUGGUCAGAGACAGGUCAAGAAAUUCAAGCCUCACUGUUGUUACCCAGUUGACCCUGAAGAAGCCAGCUGCCAUGUGUGGAGACGGCCAGGUGUUAGAGAGCAGUGGGAGCCUUCAGGAGCUGAGGGCCUCAGACCUACAGCUACAAGCUCUGUCAACAACCAAUAAAGCUUGGAAGAGGACCCGAGCCUCAGGUGGGACCUUGACUUCAGCCAGGUCAGAGGAGUCAGGCAGGCUUGGCUGGAUUCACUGCUUAGAGUCUCACAAGGUUGAAAUUAAGGUGCCGGCUGGGCUGGGUUUUUUCUGGAGGCCCUGGUGAAGCACAUUCAGGCAGCGAUUGUUGGCCCCCAAACCUAACUAAUCCAUCUCCAUUUGCCAAGAUUUGCAUGUACACACAUGGUAAGUCCGAAGCAAGGCCUUGAGUCUUAUGACCUCGGAACCCUCUAUGUCCAUUCAUCUGGACUUAGAUGUGUGUUUUGCAGAAAGUUUUCACUUUCGUCUCAGGUUCAAAGGAUUUGUUAACAAAAUAAGCCACUCAUUCUAUACAAAUAAAUAAUACUAAUAUUUAUUAGAGAAUUAUCUAGCUUAUUUUCAAUAGAAACAGUAGAGGAUACAUCACCAAGUCGGGUUUUGACCAACAUCCAGACUCAAACGGCGCUGGGAAGUCCCAUGACACAGCACAUCUGGAGUCCCAGAAAAGGUCCCAGGCUGCGCGUCCAUGGGUGAGACUUCAAAAAUUGCAGUUCUGGGGUUCUCACUUAUAAUCCCAGGAUGGAAACUGAUACCAUCAUCAAUCUGUCAGCAAAUUGAAGCCCUGGUUUCAUGGUAAUGCUGUUUGUUUUGUCUUGUAAAACUUGGCAUGCUGUUAAGCCUGGGGCUUGGUUGACCAGGGGCCCUGCAGGGGCUCAACAAUUUCAAGAUUUGCCCCCUAUCUUCUUGCAGUUACAGCAGUCAUGUUAGGGGAAGCACAUUGAUUGAAACUGCCCACCCUGGCCAGGCACCAUAGUAACCAUUUGCGUGAGUUUUUUUAUGACAGGAGAUCCUGAUAAGAAAUACGGAACUAAUAAGCCAAC